GACGAACGCUGGCGGCGUGCUUAACACACGCAAGUCGAACGAUGAAGCCGGAGCUUGCUCUGGUGAAUUAGUGGCGAACGGGUGAGUAACACGUGAGUAACCUGCCCUUGACUCUGGGAUAACUGCGGGAAACUGUAGCUAAUACCGGAUACGACCCUCGGAGGCAUCUCCUGGGGGUGGAAAGAAUUUCGGUCCAGGAUGGACUCGCGGCCUAUCAGCUAGUUGGUGAGGUAAAGGCUCACCAAGGCGACGACGGGUAGCCGGCCUGAGAGGGUGACAGGCCACACUGGGACUGAGACACGGCCCAGACUCCUACGGGAGGCAGCAGUGGGGAAUAUUGCACAAUGGGCGCAAGCCUGAUGCAGCAACGCCGCGUGAGGGAUGACGGCCUUCGGGUUGUAAACCUCUUUUAGCAGGGAAGAAGCGAAAGUGACGGUACCUGCAGAAAAAGCACCGGCUAACUACGUGCCAGCCGCCGCGGUAA
rnacentral:rRNA from 1 species